GGUGAACGCUGGCGGCGUGGAUGAGGCAUGCAAGUCGAAUGGGUUUAGACCCAUGGCAGACGAGGUAGGAACACGUAGGUACGUACCCCGAAGUCAGGGAUAACCCGGCGAAAGUCGGAAUAAUACUUGAUGGUCCCCAUAUGUAAUGUAUGGGGUAAAGAUUUAUCGCUUCGGGAACGGCCUGCGUUCUAUCAGCUUGAUGGUAGUGUAACGGACUACCAUGGCUACGACGGAUAGGGGAGGUGAGAGCCUGACCCCCACCGAUGGAACUGCGACACGGUCCAUACUCCUACGGGAGGCCGCAGUCGAGAAUCUUCCGCAAUGGACGAAAGUCUGACGGAGCGACGCCGCGUGGUGGAUGAAGCCCUUAGGGGCGUAAACACCUUUUAUGAGGGAGGAAGUUUAUUGACGUUACCUCAUGAAUAAGGGGCUCCCAAUUCUG
rnacentral:rRNA from 1 species